rnacentral:rRNA from 1 species
UUUAAAUGGCCGCAGUAUACUAACUGUGCAAAGGUAGCAUAAUCAUUAGUCUUUUAAUUGAAGGCUGGUAUGAAUGGUUGGACGAGAUAUUAACUGUUUCAUAAAAAUUUAUAAUAGAAUUUUAUUUUUUAGUCAAAAAGCUAAAAUAUAUUUAAAAGACGAGAAGACCCUAUAAAUCUUUAUAUUUAGAUUAUUAUAAUUUUAUAGAUUUUUUUUGUUAUAAUAAUUGAUGAUAUUUUAUUGGGGUGAUAUUAAAAUUUAAUAAACUUUUAAUUGUUUAAAUCAUUAAUUUAUGAAUAAUUGAUCCGUUAUUAGCGAUUAAAAAAACAAGUUACUUUAGGGAUAACAGCGUAAUUUUUUUGGAGAGUUCAUAUCGAUAAAAAAGAUUGCGACCUCGAUGUUGGAUUAAGAUAUAAUUUUAGGUGUAGCCGCUUAAAUUUUAAGUCU